AGGUUGCCACAAUAAGAUACGGGAUGAAACUUACCCCGCCCAAAUCAAAUUUUCAAUAUCUCAUCGUCACAACCUCUUCAUUUACCACAUAAUAUACCAACAGAACUUAUAUCCAUUUGCCUACACUUGCUGCAUUCACCUUAAUUACCACACAUGCAUAGGCUUCUCAUCUUCAAAGCCCAAUCCCUAUACCAUAAACAUACAUCCAAAACCAUAAUUCAACGCCUGAAGCCCAAAAUAAAAACUAUCAGCCAGACCCAACGAAUAUCCCCAUCUGAUAGAAGAUUGAAACAUCACAGAACAUUACUAACAUUCAAUCAAAUCAUCAUAAUGUCAAUAAAUGGUACAGGUUCGAAAGACUUACCCAAAAAUCUUCCUUUUCCUGACAAAUCGAAAAUUUAGAGCAAGAGAAGAAAAAUUAAAAAAAAAAAUAAAAUAAACAAUAAAUGAAACAACCUAGAAUAUAUCAAAUGAAAAUGAAGCUACAUAGGAUCAAAAGAUUUAGCGAAAAUACUCAUUUCCCGUACACCGAUCAUCGAACCAAUAGACGGUUUCCCUAUAAAUAAAAGAAUGCAAGCCAGAGAAAGAUGAACAGCUCAGAGAACGAAGGGCGAUGGAGUUAGAGAAAUACCUUCUUUGUAAGAAAUGACAAUGGGAAUGACGCUACGAUUAAGCAAAUGGAUUUUUCUGUCGAUCAAGUUCAAAAAAACGAAGGAAAAGAGGAAAUUUAGGCCCUGUUUGGAAUGUAGAAGUGGGAAAGAAAAAUAUAGAC
rnacentral:lncRNA from 1 species